rnacentral:tRNA from 1 species
GCAGGUGUGGCGGAAUGGCAGACGCACAAGACUCAAAAUCUUGCGAGGGCAACUUCGUGUGGGUUCAAGUCCCACCACCUGCA